GAUGAAGAACGUAUCGAAAUGCGAUAAGUAGUGUGAAUUGCAGAAUUCAGUGAAUCAUCGAAUCUUUGAACGCACAUUGCGCCCUUUGGUAUUCCUUAGGGCAUGCCUGUUCGAGCGUCAUUUAAACCUUCAAGCUCAGCUUGGUGUUGGGUGACUGUCCGCUUCACCGCGGACUCGCCUCAAAAUUAUUGGCGGCCGGUACAUUGGCUUCGAGCGCAGCAGAAACGCGAACUCGGGCCCGUCGUAUUGGCUCCCAGAAGCUAUCUUCACAAUUUUGACCUCGGAUCAGGUAGGGAUACCCGCUGAACUUAAGCAUAUCAAUAAGCGGAGGA
rnacentral:misc_RNA from 1 species